GAACAAUGAAGAAUAAGGGCAUGGGAAGGCCUGGCCCCUGACUUGUGGCCUUCCUUUUUACUUUCCACUGCUGGCUCUGAUUUGCACUGCAAAGGCCCUCAUAAGGCUUCAUAUGAACAUCAUAGUCUGCACACCCAAGCAUCCACUGACAUAUUUCCCUGGGAUCGAAGAAGGAAGAGAAGAAAUUGCAGGGAGUACCCUAACAAAGGGAGAAUCGGAUAAAAAAAAUGAGACAGAAGGAUAGAGCUGCAUUCAGUAGGAGAAUGGAAGCCAGCAUACUUAUGACCAUAAGGAUGACAGAUGCUCACUGGGGCGACUGAGCAGAAGCACAGGCACCUGGCAUCUGCUGGUAUCUUGGGGCUACUGCACUAUUCCUCAUCAGAGGAGUCCUCUGGACUGCUUUUUUGCACAAAAGUAACCGCCCAACUGCUUUUGUGAAUUUUUCUGUUGAAGCCAAAAGCAAUUCUCACUGAUAGGCUGGUAAUUUUUAAUUUUAAGACACAUAUGGAGAGAAAUGAAAAGUAGUAACCAGUAUAGUGAAUUCACCAUGAUUUCCUCUGAAGAAUGCACAGGAAUAUCACACUGGUGGCUAGGAUUCUCCAUGGAUCUGAACACCCUCAGGGGAGUGAGAAAGACUGCUUCCUCCUGGGAUUAAAGAGGCAAAUUGAAUGUAGACCUCCCAAAUCUCCUCCAGGAUGAGAUGAUCUAUAAAACACCGGAGAGAAUCCAAGUAGACACAUGUGGAAUGAAACCUUGAGCUUAAUCCUUGCUUACCAUCUGUGGGAAAACUUCAGGAAGAUGGUCAAACCUGUCUCAUGGCAGUUUCAUAUAUUUUCAUGCUAAGCGUGCAGGAGACACUCCACAAAAUUUUGUGAGGUGAGUGGAAUUCAGAAGUCUCUUUAGAAUUAUCCAGACACUUUGGCAAAUCAUAGGUGUGUGUGUGUAUGUGUGUAUUAUAUAUAUCAAAGACCAGGACACUGAAGGCUCAAGGAUAUCCGAUUAUUGAAAAACAUAAACCCAAGCUUUAUCUGACAGAGGUCAAGUGCUGUGCCUAUUUGAUGGGUUGAGCACUGGGUGUUAUACUAUAU